rnacentral:lncRNA from 1 species
UAUGUUUGGUUCACUAUUAAAUAAAUAUGAUUGACAGGGUUUUAGCGUUACAGGCACAGAGAUGAUUAUGUUUCCACUAGCAAGUCAAAAAGAAAUUUAAGUAAAGCAAAGAAAGAAGGAAAUGGUCACAAAUGAUAAGUCUUUUCUCUUUUUUGACCAGUUUCUGCUUGUUUGUUUUUUUUUUCUUUUAACAUCCACCAUCACAUGUAAUGCAAGCAUUUUUUGUUGUUAGGCUACAGUACAAUUGAUGGAAGUGAAGCACACAUAUAUAGAGGUUUUUUUUACCCUUCUAAUUUCUCUCAAUCUCUACCUAAACAAACAGCACUUUGUCUUAUAGAGUAGAAAACCACCAAAGAAAAAUUGACACUUCUUCUGGGUCCUGAACUGACCUCAUUUUUGUGACUUCUCCUCCUCCUCUGCUNN